AUUGAACGCUGGCGGCAGGCCUAACACAUGCAAGUCGAGCGCGAAAGUUCUUCGGAAUGAGUAAAGCGGCGGACGGGUGAGUAAUACAUGGGAAUCUGCCUGGUAGUGGGGGACAACGUUUCGAAAGGAACGCUAAUACCGCAUACGCCCUACGGGGGAGAGGGGGGGAUCUUCGGACCUCUCGCUAUCAGAUGAGCCCA
rnacentral:rRNA from 1 species